rnacentral:rRNA from 1 species
UACGUAGGGGGCAAGCGUUAUCCGGAUUUACUGGGUGUAAAGGGAGCGUAGACGGCGCAGCAAGUCUGAUGUGAAAGGCCGGGGCUCAACCCCGGGACUGCAUUGGAAACUGUCGUACUUGAGUAUCGGAGAGGUAAGUGGAAUUCCUAGUGUAGCGGUGAAAUGCGUAGAUAUUAGGAGGAACACCAGUGGCGAAGGCGGCUUACUGGACUGACAAUGACGCUGAGGCUCGAAAGUGUGGGUAGCAAACAGG